GAUCUCCUGGGAUGUUUAGCACUGGGCUCAGAAUAUCAGUGGUGAUAAAAGUGCAGGUCGGCCCCUGACAAGGCGACUCUGAGGAGACU
ensembl:snoRNA